rnacentral:rRNA from 1 species
GCACAAGCGGAGGAGCAUGUGGUUUAAUUCGAUGAUACGCGAGGAACCUUACCUGGGCUCGAACGUAAGAUGACUGUAGGUGAAAGCUUACAUCUCUUCGGAGCAUUUUACGAGGUGCUGCAUGGUUGUCGUCAGCUCGUGCCGUGAGGUGUCGGGUUAAGUCCCAUAACGAGCGCAACCCCUAUCAUUAGUUGCCAUCAGGUCAAGCUGGGGACUCUAAUGAAACUGCCUACGCAAGUAGUGAGGAAGGUGGGGAUGACGUCAAAUCAGCACGGCCCUUACGUCCGGGGCGACACACGUGUUACAAUGGGUGGUACAAAGGGCAGCUACCUGGCGACAGGAUGCUAAUCUCCAAAACCACUCUCAGUUCGGAUCGGAGUCUGCAACUCGACUCCGUGAAGCUGGAUUCGCUAGUAAUCGCGCAUCAGCCACGGCGCGGUGAAUACGUUCCCGGGCCUU